GGACGGGCGGAGGGCUUAUAUAGAUAAUCUUAUAAUCACGAACUGAUUGUGCCGGAAGGAAAGGGGUGACACGGCGGUGGUGCGGCGCGAGGACGGGCGAGCGGGCGGAGAACGGAAAUAGUAUUUAUAAAGGCAUAGCAGCAUCAUUUUAAGAGAUGACCAAUAAUCGAUAAACCACACAAUCCACGGUGGGAUGUUUAGCGCACGAGACGCAAUGAAUGGAAUUAUGCGAGAGCCUCCCACCACCCCCACCUCCCCCGCCUCUUUUCCUCUCCUCCUCACAACAUCCUGCCCUUUGCGUGAGUUCGCGAGGAUGCGCUAUCGAGGGGCGACGAUUAGCGGCAUUAGCGAGGGAAGGAAAAGGAGCCAUAUUCUCGAGCACACGCGCAUACAAACACACACACACCCACACACUCAGACACAUACACAGGCUGCCACAAACCAGGAGUCGCCACGGAACAGAAGGAUCAAUCGAUGAAUCGCAAUAGACGCACGUCAACACUUCCACAUCACAUCAUGCGAAAGAUGAUUAUAUAUAUAUACAUACAUAUACAUAUACAUAUAGCCCCUAUAGAGUACACCAAAUAAUGUAACGCAAGCAAGAUAGCAAUUUGAGGUGGGAGCAGUUUGCCCCCGGAGUUUGUAGGCGAAUAACAAAAUAGUAAACGGACGCGUGGGCGAUAGAGGGGGCACGCUAGGGAGGAGAGUUGGGAAAGUGCAAAAAGGACUCGAGCGACGUGGUGGACACCGCAGCAGUACCGCAUCUGUUCCGACCAUUCCGGACCGCCCGGACCGUCAGAGAUGUGUGCAUAUGCAACUGAGAGAGAAGGAUAUGAUGGUGGAGGAGAGGAACGCGACGGAUCGAGCCGGACACGGACACACGGGGGUAGUUUACACGAAACCUAGGACACAUUUUUGAAAUCAGACUCAAAGCUCUUCCGACUGACCAUGUGUGUGGGCGCACAUCAACCAGUUGAUUAACAACCACACACCCGCGUGAUAGCCUGUAGUAGAGGGAAUGUUGUUUUCGUCUUCAGCGUUCAGUUAGUUAAGCGAGAAGAACUGCACCCUGCAACUGUCAACCUCCGGGCCCGGGUUCAACCUUCCUUCUUCCUUCGCAAUGGAAAAUGGAUUUUCUCUCCCCCUGCCAGCAGCAGUCCCCGGCCGCUGCACCGAACCUUAAGUGUAUGGAUAAUUGGCAACACGCAGGCGAAAGGGCGCAGCAGCGAAAGAAAAAAAACCCCCCGCUGAGGGAAAACAGUCUCAAGAAGAAGAAGAAGAGAAAGAAGCCUUAGUUGAGUAACGCAUCGCUGCAAUGCACUAAUGUUCUAGUUUUCCACCUCACCAACCUCCACCCAUUCUCCACCCCCCCACCCACCCAUCGUCACUCCAUUUUUUGCUGUAGGUGUGUGCUAGCGAAAAGGCAAGCUAUAGAGAAGACCUGAAUAUCAAAUAGCAGGGCGGCGUAGCCGAAGCGCAGCGCUGAAUAGGCGAACCUGGAUGCGAAAUGCAAGAGAGGGUAGUCGGUGCAUAGAAAAGGCACCGGAAGGGGGAAACCCCGGCCCGCGGCUGCGGUGGAAAUGUGUGCAAACAUAUUUUUGAAAGCACGAGCCAGCCGCCGCGCUCACUGGGGAGGCGAAUUUUUGAAAAUAGUAGGAACAAAGUCAAAUAUUAAUUAAUCGAGAGAGAGAGGUGGCAGAAGAUAGAGAGAGAAAGAGAGUGUGUGUGUUUGUAUGAUCUAAUGAUUUAAAGGUUAAACCAACACACAAAGGCACACUCAUCCACACAUAAUGAAAAUGAAUUGAAUCGUGCAAUCGAGCGUGCGGAGAUGCUAUAUUAUGUUUUUUGUUGUGUGAAUCCUUUCGAUGGAUUGCGGGAUUGAUCGAAGCGGAAGAGGGGUGUGGUGCAACCUUGCGGGGGGAGGUAGCAAAAUUAACGCAUGUUUGUAGGCGAAGUAUGAAAAUUGACCGGUCAUUAAAUGAGUUGUUGCGCGCAAUCGUAGGUGAAGAUGUAUGCAGCGCCACCUUCCUAUUCUCCCCCCUGGCAAAUGGAACUAGAUAUGUGUAACACGAGUCAAGAAGCAAAACCACACGAACUCACACGUCCCACUAAAUAAUAAACUGUUAUCUAAAGCUACGUGUGUCAGGAUGGCGCCCCUCCCCGUUAAAGCAAAUCGUAAAACGAAAGGGAAAACAAACAAAAAAAAAGAAAACAUUUACACAUACGCCCGAACCCCGCAACCCGUAGAGAAAAUAAAACAAGCAAAGGGAAUGAGAAAAGCAAGAGAUGAAAAAAAAACACACACACACACAUACACUAACACAUACACACAUUCAGCUUUAUCGUAAAUUAUUUUAGAAAUAAUAUUUUUAAAAACAAA